UGCCGGACUGGCCCGCGGCAGACUGGUGCCCAGGGGGCGAGGGUGAGGCGAGGAGCGCAGACGCCCUGCGAGCUGAGCUCCGCGAGCGGCUCACCCGCUGGCCCGGGGACAAGUCACCACGCAGCGGGUCGCAAAGGGGACCUUGUCUGGGGUGCGUCCGGCCAGGGGACCCCUCGAGGAGGCGGCCGGGGCUCCCGGGCCGAGCGAGCGCAGGAGGGGCGGCGGGUGGCAGCGGAACCUGAGAGCUGAGAGCAAGGGAGACAGAGCUGAAGAGUUACUAUGUCAACCGAGACUCUCCAGCCCUCGGCUCCCGCCUUCUUCCCCCGCAUCCUCCGUCAUGAUUCCACCUUUAAAGAGAUCGGAACGACGUUCCAGAAAGCAGCCAAAGCCUGUCGUGUAGCCACAACUUUCAGGGCCAAGAUGAACCUAAAUGACCCUACUGGAAGUCCAAAUACCUUGAGACCUUCAUGCUGUGAAGAACACAGACCACGUGGAAAGGCUAGAGGCAGGUAUUCUGGCUGAAAGUCCCAGCUGACAACCAGCACCAACAGCCAGACAUAUGCAUGGAGACAGCCAUGAUUUCAGUCCUGAGCCUUGAAGUGACUCCCAGCCAUCAAGUUUUACCAACUGAGGCCCCAGACUUUGUGGAACAGAGACAAGCUAUUCCUGAUGUACCCUGUGGGAAUACCUGACCCACAGAAUCUGUAAAUGUAAUAAAAUGGUGAUUUCAUGCUACUAA